AACGUUGGCGGCGCGCCUAACACAUGCAAGUCGAACGAGCGAGAGAGAGCUUGCUUUCUCGAGCGAGUGGCGAACGGGUGAGUAACGCGUGAGGAACCUGCCUCAAAGAGGGGGACAACAGUUGGAAACGACUGCUAAUACCGCAUAAGCCCACGGCUCGGCAUCGAGCAGAGGGAAAAGGAGCAAUCCGCUUUGAGAUGGCCUCGCGUCCGAUUAGCUAGUUGGUGAGGUAACGGCCCACCAAGGCGACGAUCGGUAGCCGGACUGAGAGGUUGAACGGCCACAUUGGGACUGAGACACGGCCCAGACUCCUACGGGAGGCAGCAGUGGGGAAUAUUGCACAAUGGGGGAAACCCUGAUGCAGCGACGCCGCGUGGAGGAAGAAGGUCUUCGGAUUGUAAACUCCUGUUGUUGAGGAAGAUAAUGACGGUACUCAACAAGGAAGUGACGGCUAACUACGUGCCAGCAGCCGCGGCAAAACGUAGGUCACAAGCGUUGUCCGGAAUUACUGGGUGUAAAGGGAGCGCAGGCGGGAAGACAAGUUGGAAGUGAAGUCCAUGGGCUCAACCCAUGAACUGCUUUCAAAACUGUUUUUCUUGAGUAGUGCAGAGGUAGGCGGAAUUCCCGGUGUAGCGGUGGAAUGCGUAGAUAUCGGGAGGAACACCAGUGGCGAAGGCGGCCUACUGGGCACCAACUGACGCUGAGGCUCGAAAGUGUGGGUAGCAAACAGGAUUAGAUACCCUGGUAGUCCACGCCGUAAACGAUGAUUACUAGGUGUUGGAGGAUUGACCCCUUCAGUGUCGCAGUUAACACAAUAAGUAAUCCACCUGGGGAGUAC
rnacentral:rRNA from 1 species